UCUAGGUAUGAUAGUGCACACCUGUAAUCCCUGCUACCAGAAAGACUGAGGCUGGUGGAUCUCUUGAGCCUGGCAGUUCUAAGUUGCAGUAGGUUAAGUCAACAGAUGUCUACACUAAGUUUGACAUUGACAUGGUGAGCCCAUGGGAGGCCACCAGGAUGAUUGAGGAGGAAAGAACCAGCUCAAGGCAGAAAUGGAUCAGGUCAAAGAUUCAGCCACGCUGAUCAGUAGUGGAAACAGGCCCAAGAGUAGCCUCUGUACUUUCAACAUAGGCAAAAUAGGGAGACCCAGUCUUAA
rnacentral:SRP_RNA from 1 species